rnacentral:rRNA from 1 species
AUUGAACGCUGGCGGCAUGCCUUACACAUGCAAGUCGAACGGUAACGGGUCCUUCGGGAUGCCGACGAGUGGCGAACGGGUGAGUAAUAUAUCGGAACGUGCCCAGUAGUGGGGGAUAACUGCUCGAAAGAGCAGCUAAUACCGCAUACGACCUGAGGGUGAAAGGGGGGGAUCGCAAGACCUCUCGCUAUUGGAGCGGCCGAUAUCAGAGUAGCUAGUUGGGGGGGUAAAGGCCUACCAAGGCAACGAUCUGUAGUUGGUCUGAGAGGACGACCAGCCACACUGGGACUGAGAAACGGCCCAGACUCCUACGGGAGGCAGCAGUGGGGAAUUUUGGACAAUGGGCGCAAGCCUGAUCCAGCAAUGCCGCGUGCAGGAAGAAGGCCUUCGGGUUGUAAACUGCUUUUGUCAGGGAAGAAAUCUUCUGGGCUAAUACCCCGGGAGGAUGACGGUACCUGAAGAAUAAGCACCGGCUAACUACGUGCCAGCCGCCGCAGUAA